rnacentral:rRNA from 1 species
AACGAACGCUGGCGGCAGGCCUAACACAUGCAAGUCGAACGAUAUAGUGGCAGACGGGUGAGUAACGCGUGGGAACGUACCUUUCACUACGGAAUAGCUCUGAGAAAUUGGUGGUAAUACCGUAUACGCCCUCAGGGGGAAAGAUUUAUCGGUGGAAGAUCGGCCCGCGUUGGAUUAGCUAGUUGGUGAGGUAAUGGCUCACAAAGGCGACGAUCCAUAGCUGGUCUGAGAGGAUGAUCAGCCACACUGGGACUGAGACACGGCCCAGGCUCCUACGGGAGGCAGCAGUGGGGAAUCUUGCACAAUGGGCGAAAGCCUGAUGCAGCCAUGCCGCGUGAAUGAUGAAGGCCUUAGGGUUGUAAAAUUCUUUCGUCAGGGAUGAUAAUGACCGUACCUGAAGAAGAAGCCCCGGCUAACUUCGUGCCAGCCGCCGCCGUAACAC